GGGAUGUGAUGAGUGGUCAAUAAUCGCUAUUAUGCGAGAUGGGUGUCCGCUCAUGCCUGGUUACGACAAUUGGGCACCCCCAUCUUAACCAUCUGAUCCC